rnacentral:rRNA from 1 species
AGAAUCAACGCUGGCGGCGUGCCUAACACAUGCAAGUCGAACGAGAAAGUGGGAGCAAUCCCACGAGUAAAGUGGCGCACGGGUGAGUAACACGUGACUAACCUACCCUUGAGUGGGGGAUAACCUAGGGAAACCUGGGCUAAUACCGCAUAAUACCUACGGGUCAAAGGAGCAAUUCGCUUUAGGAGGGGGUCGCGGCAGAUUAGUUAGUUGGCGGGGUAAUGGCCCACCAAGACAGUGAUCUGUAUCCGGCCUGAGAGGGCGCACGGACACACUGGAACUGAAACACGGUCCAGACUCCUACGGGAGGCAGCAGUGGGGAAUUUGCGCAAUGGGGGAAACCCUGACGCAGCAACGCCGCGUGGAGGAUGAAGCCCCUUGGGGCGUAAACUCCUUUCGAUCGGGAAGAUAAUGACGGUACCGGAAGAAGAAGCCCCGGACUAACUUCGUGCCAGCAGCCGC